UACAGAGGGUGCGAGCGUUGUCCGGAAUCACUGGGCGUAAAGGGCGCGUAGGCGGUCUCUUAAGCGUGUGGUGAAAGCCCGGAGCUCAACUCCGGGUCGGCCGUCGAGACUCCUCGGCUCGAGCUCACUAGAGGCAGAUGGAAUUCCGGGUGUAGCGGUGGAAUGCGUAGAGAUCCGGAAGAACACCGGUGGCGAAGGCGGUCUGCUGGGGUGAGGCUGACGCUGAUGCGCGACAGCGUGGGGAGCAAACAGG
rnacentral:rRNA from 1 species